rnacentral:rRNA from 1 species
UACGUAGGGUGCAAGCGUUGUCCGGAAUUAUUGGGCGUAAAGAGCUCGUAGGCGGUCUGUUACGUCUGCUGUGAAAACCCAGGGCUUAACCCUGGGCUUGCAGUGGAUACGGGCAGACUAGAGGCAGGUAGGGGAGAAUGGAAUUCCCGGUGUAGCGGUGAAAUUCGUAGAUAUCGGGAGGAACACCAGUGGCGCAGGCGGCGCUCUGGACCGUGACUGACGCUGAGACGCGAAAGCGUGGGUAGCAAACAGG